rnacentral:rRNA from 1 species
ACGGGAGGCAGCAGUAGGGAAUAUUGCACAAUGGGGGGAACCCUGAUGCAGCGACGCCGCGUGAGUGAUGAAGUAUUUCGGUACGUAAAACUCUAUCAGCAGGGAAGAUAAUGACGGUACCUGACUAAGAAGCCCCGGCUAACUACGUGCCAGCAGCCGCGGUAAUACGUAGGGGGCAAGCGUUAUCCGGAUUUACUGGGUGUAAAGGGAGUGUAGGUGGUUUGGCAAGCCAGAUGUGAAAGCCCGGGGCUCAACCCCGCGGACUGCAUUUGGAACUGUUAAACUUGAGUGCAGGAGAGGAAAGUGGAAUUCCUAGUGUAGCGGUGAAAUGCGUAGAUAUUAGGAGGAACACCGGUGGCGAAGGCGGCUUACUGGACUGUAACUGACGUUGAGGCUCGAAAGCGUGGGGAGCAAACAGGAUUAAAUACCCUGGUA